CCAAUAUUUUUGGUGACUCAUAAUAACUUUACGGAUCACAUUAUGUGACAUAUCAUUCAAGUUUCUGACCUAUCAGCUUUAGACGGUAGGGUAUUGGCCUACCGUGGCUAUGACGGGUAACGGGGAAUUAGGGUUCGAUUCCGGAGAGGGAGCCUGAGAAACGGCUACCACAUCUAAGGAAGGCAGCAGGCGCGCAAAUUACCCAAUCCUAAUACAGGGAGGUAGUGACAAGAAAUAACAAUACAGAACCUUACGGUUUUGUAAUUGGAAUGAGUUAAGUAUAAACCCCUUAACAAGUAUCAAUUGGAGGGCAAGUCUGGUGCCAGCAGCCGCGGUAAUUCCAGCUCCAAUAGCGUAUAUUAAAGUUGUUGCAGUUAAAAAGCUCGUAGUUAAUCUUCUGUUAAUUUUUAUAUAUAAUAUCUCGAUAUUUAUAUAAUAUUAACAUAAUUCAUAUUACUUUUUAGUAUAUGAAACUUUACUUUGAGAAAAUUAGAGUGCUUAAAGCAGGCUAUUGCCUUGAAUACUCCAGCAUGGAAUAAUAUUAAGGAUUUUUAUUCUUCUUAUUGGUUCUAGAAUAAAAAUGAUGAUUAAUAGGAACAGUUGGGGGCAUUUGUAUUUAACAGUCAGAGGUGAAAUUCUUAGAUUUGUUAAAGACAAACUACUGCGAAAGCAUUUGCCAAGGAUGUUUUCAUUAAUCAAGAACGAAAGUUAGGGGAUCGAAGACGAUCAGAUACCGUCGUAGUCUUAACCAUAAACUAUGCCAACUAGAGAUUG
rnacentral:rRNA from 1 species